rnacentral:rRNA from 1 species
GAUGAACGCUAGCGGGAGGCCUAACACAUGCAAGCCGAGCGGUAUUUGUUCUUCGGAACAGAGAGAGCGGCGCACGGGUGCGGAACACGUGUGCAACCUGCCUUUAUCUGGGGGAUAGCCUUUCGAAAGGAAGAUUAAUACCCCAUAAUAUAUUGAGCGGCAUCAUUUGAUAUUGAAAACUCCGGUGGAUAUAUCUUGCCACACGCCAGAUUAGUUAGUUGGUGAGGUAACGGCUCACCAAGUCAAUGAACUUUAGGUGACCUGAGAAGGUGAUCCCACACACUGGUACUAAGACACGGACCAGACUCCUACGGGAGGCAGCAGUGAGGAAUAUUGGACAAUGGGUUCGCGCCUGAUCCAGCCAUCACGCGUGAAGGACGUCGGCCCUGUGGGUUGUAAACUUGUUUUGUAUAGGGAUAAACAUACGCGCGUGAGAGUAGCUGAAGGUACUAUACGAAUAGGCACGGGCUAACUCCGUG